rnacentral:rRNA from 1 species
AUGGGAGUCGUGCUCUUCAACUACUCGGAGGCAGACUUCACCGUGAAGCCUCGCGACCGCGUCAUACAGAUUAUUGUCCAGGUGAUUGCGACGCAGGAGGUGUCCCAGGGUGGAGGACCUCGACGCCACCGUCCGAAGGUCACCGAGGUGGAGGACGACGCCACCGUCUGGAGUUCCUCAAGGUGGAGGACCUUGACUCUUUGUACAUACAUCUAG